GACAGAGGGGGCGAGCGUUGUCCGGAGUCACUGGGCGUAAAGCGCGCGCAGGCGGCAACCUUAGUGUCGUGUGAAAGCCCCCGGCUCAACCGGGGGAGGCCAUGGCAAACUGGGUCGCUCGAGCUGCGGAGAGGCUCCUCGAAGUGCCGGUGUAGCGGUGAAAUGCGUAGAGAUCGGCAGGAAGACCAAGGGGGAAGCCAGGGGGCUGGCCGCAGGCUGACGCUGAGGCGCGACAGCGUGGGGAGCAAACCGG
rnacentral:rRNA from 1 species